rnacentral:rRNA from 1 species
CCUACGGGGGGCGGCAGUGGGGAAUAUUGCACAAUGGACGAAAGUCUGAUGCAGCCAUACCGCGUGUGUGAAGAAGGCCCGAGGGUUGUAAAGCACUUUCAAUUGUGAGGAAGGUAGUGUAGUUAAUACCUGCAUUGCUUGACGUUAACUUUAGAAGAAGCACCGGCUAACUCUGUGCCAGCAGCCGCGGUAAUACAGAGGGUGCAAGCGUUAUUCGGAAUUACUGGGCGUAAAGCGCGCGUAGGCGGAUUAUUAAGUCAGUUGUGAAAGCCCUGGGCUCAACCUAGGAACUGCAUCUGAUACUGGUAAUCUAGAGUUUAGGAGAGGGAAGUGGAAUUCCAGGUGUAGCAGUGAAAUGCGUAGAUAUCUGGAGGAACAUCAGUGGCGAAGGCGACUUCCUGGCCUAAAACUGACGCUGAGGUGCGAAAGCAUGGGUAGCGAACGGGAUUAGAUACCCCGGUAGUCCAUGCCGUAAACGAUGUCAACUAGUUGUUGGUCCUAUUAAAAGGAUUAGUAACGAAGCUAACGCGAUAAGUUGACCGCCUGGGGAGUACGGUCGCAAGAUUAAAACUCAAAGGAAUUGACGG